CUUUCGUUUUUCCGCACAGUCUGCGGAGUGGUUCCGCGGCACCAGGGACGACGACCGUCAGACCCCAGAUCCAGCAGAGGCGAACCGGGUGCGGGAACCCGGGAAAGGCAGCAUCGCUGCGCCUCCGCCCACCGCUGCCCGACCCGGUGCGCAGAGAUGUCCCAGUGGUAUGAGCUUCAACAGCUUGACUCCAAAUUCCUGGAGCAGGUUCACCAGCUCUAUGACGACAGUUUUCCCAUGGAAAUCAGACAGUACCUGGCACAGUGGCUAGAAAAACAAGACUGGGAGCAUGCUGCUAAUGACGUUUCAUUUGCCACCAUCCGUUUUCAUGACCUCCUGUCACAGCUGGAUGAUCAGUAUAGUCGCUUUUCUUUGGAGAAUAAUUUUUUGUUGCAGCAUAACAUAAGGAAAAGCAAACGAAAUCUUCAGGAUAAUUUUCAGGAAGACCCGAUACAGAUGUCGAUGAUCAUCUGUAACUGUCUGAAGGAGGAAAGGAAGAUCCUGGAAAAUGCCCAGAGAUUCUGUCAGGCGCAGUCGGGGAACAUUCAGAGCACGGUGAUGUUAGACAAACAGAAGGAGCUCGACAGCAAAGUCAGAAAUGUGAAGGAUAAAGUUAUGUGUAUAGAGCAUGAAAUCAAGACCCUAGAAGAUUUACAAGAUGAAUAUGACUUUAAGUGCAAAACCCUGCAGAACAGAGAACAUGAAGCCAAUGGCGUGGCAAAGAAUGAUCAGAAACAAGAGCAGAUGUUAAUCCAGAAGAUGUAUUUAAUGCUCGACAACAAGAGAAAGGAAGUAGUUCACAAAAUAAUAGAGUUGUUGAAUGUCACGGAACUUACCCAGAAAGCCCUGAUUAAUGAUGAGCUGGUGGAAUGGAAGCAGAGACAGCAGAGUGCCUGUAUUGGGGGGCCCCCCAACGCUUGUCUUGAUCAGCUGCAGAACUGGUUCACCGUCGUUGCGGAGAGUCUGCAGCAGGUUCGUCAGCAGCUUAAAAAGCUCGAGGAAUUGGAACAGAAGUACACCUACGAACACGACCCAAUCACAAAAAACAAGCAAGGGCUAUGGGACCGCACCUUCAGCCUUUUCCAGCAGCUCAUCCAGAGCUCGUUUGUGGUGGAGAGACAGCCUUGCAUGCCAACUCAUCCUCAGAGGCCACUGGUCUUGAAGACCGGGGUCCAGUUCACUGUGAAGUUGAGACUGCUGGUGAAAUUGCAAGAGCUGAAUUACAAUUUGAAAGUCAAAGUCUUAUUUGAUAAAGAUGUGAAUGAAAGAAAUACAGUAAAAGGAUUUAGAAAGUUCAACAUUUUGGGCACACAUACGAAAGUGAUGAACAUGGAGGAGUCCACCAAUGGAAGUCUGGCAGCAGAAUUUCGACACCUGCAACUGAAAGAGCAGAAAAAUGCCGGCACCAGAACUAACGAGGGCCCUCUUAUCGUUACUGAAGAGCUUCACUCCCUUAGUUUUGAGACCCAGUUAUGCCAGCCUGGUUUGGUCAUUGACCUCGAGACUACCUCUCUGCCCGUUGUGGUGAUCUCCAACGUCAGCCAGCUCCCGAGUGGUUGGGCCUCCAUCCUCUGGUACAACAUGCUGGUGACAGAACCCCGGAAUCUGUCCUUCUUCCUGAACCCACCUUGUGCACGAUGGUCCCAGCUCUCGGAGGUGCUCAGCUGGCAGUUUUCUUCUGUCACCAAAAGAGGUCUCAAUGUGGACCAGCUCAACAUGCUAGGAGAGAAACUACUCGGUCCUAAUGCUGGCCCCGAUGGUCUCAUUCCGUGGACAAGGUUCUGCAAGGAAAAUAUAAAUGAUAAAAAUUUUCCUUUCUGGCUUUGGAUUGAAAGCAUCCUUGAACUCAUUAAAAAACACCUGCUCUCUCUCUGGAAUGAUGGGUGCAUCGUGGGCUUUAUCAGCAAGGAGCGAGAGCGCGCGCUGCUCAAGGACCAGCAGCCGGGCACGUUCCUGCUGCGCUUCAGCGAGAGCUGCCGGGAAGGGGCCAUCACGUUCACGUGGGUGGAGCGGUCGCAGAACGGAGGCGAACCUUACUUCCAUGCCGUUGAGCCCUACACGAAGAAAGAACUUUCUGCUGUUACUUUCCCUGAUAUUAUUCGCAAUUACAAAGUCAUGGCUGCUGAAAAUAUUCCAGAGAAUCCCCUGAAGUAUCUGUAUCCGAAUAUUGAUAAAGACCAUGCCUUUGGGAAAUAUUACUCCAGGCCAAAGGAAGCCCCAGAACCAAUGGAACUCGAUGGCCCUAAAGGAACUGGAUACAUCAAGACUGAGUUGAUUUCUGUGUCUGAAGUUCACCCCUCUCGACUUCAGACCACAGACAACCUUCUCCCCAUGUCCCCUGAGGAGUUUGACGAGGUGUCUCGGAUAGUGGGUUCCGUAGAGUUCGACAGUAUGAUGAAUGCAGUAUAGAGCAUGAAUUUUUCUCGUCUUCUCUGGCGACAUUUUUCCUUCCCAUCUGUGAUUCCCUCCUGCUACUCUGUUCCUUCACAUCCCAUGUUUCUAGGGAAAUGAGACAAAGACGAACAAAUUUGCUGCAACCUGUUGAUAGCAAGUGGAUUUUUCCCUAAUUCAGAAACGUCUGUUACUCUGAAGGGCUUCAUGCAUCUUAUGAAAGAGAUCAGAUUUGUCCUGUGUGUACAAUGAAGAAAACUCCAGUAACACUGAAAUGACAAAUGUUGUAAAAUAUACAUCACUACCAGAUAGAAAUACACAUGUUCUUCAUAAUCAUUUUCCACAAUUAAAUAGGUAAGUGAUUUCUAUUUUGGGCUUAAGACCGUUAUAACAAUCCGUCAAGAUUCUUAUGGACCGUUUGAUUUUCUUUUCCGUUGCCGGAAUCUCCCUGGGGCGUGUACUGGCCUUGGUACUCCUGGAGGAUUUUAAACACAUCGUGGUGUCCGAAGUGCAGCGCUUCGUCCAUGGGCGUGUUAUUCCACCUAAAGGAGUAGCACAACAGGGACCGGGUCGUUAGAUAAUCUCCGUACAGAAAUGAUACUCCAGCGUUCUCAGGUGCUACCUGCAGGUUUAAGGGCCAUUCAAAUUUAGCCAUUUUAGCCGUGUUCCAAGUAAAAAUUAACUGAGAUGCAGAAAGGGACUCAUAAUUCAAAAAGUGGUCUUACAGGCCACUUGAGAUGGGGGGGGAAGAGAAAACGAUCUUCUAGAAAUGGAUCUUGUUCACAUAUCUCAGUGCUUAUGGAGGGGAAUCUCUAGUGUGGACAGACACAGUGGAAUCCUCUGGGAUGCCUGGAUUUUAAUUUCAUGAAAAGCCCAUAGGAUCGCUCCCUAAAUAAAAUGUCCAAGGAAAAGUCAGGUAUAUAAUACCCGUCACCCUAUCUUUUGAUUGAAAAUUUGUGUUUCUGUCAAUUCAAAAUCACAACAAAUCUCAGAAGUCUGGAAAUAACUGUGACCUCAUUAGGGCCCAGACACACACUGGAGGAGCGGCAUCAGCCCCAGAGGGAUUGGCACUGUCCUCAUCUCUGGUAAGGAUGGGAGCCCGGGGCGCCAGUGGACCACUGCACCACGCGAACAAUAACGGCGCUUUCACUCUAAGUGUGUUUCUGGGGUGUGCUCCUCAGUGACAGAGGUGAAGAUGAAGAUAAGAGAAAGAGUUGCCAGCAGCGAUUAACCAGCUAAACAGCCUUUGGAAAGAAGAGAAUACUGUGAAACUCACAACGCUAGGAAAUGAGAGUGUGAGAAUCAGUUCCCUGAUAUUUGACAAACGAAUGAGCCUCCCUGCGUCUCUCUCCACUGAACUUCUCCACGGCUGCCAGGCGCCCAGACUCCCACUACUCCCCCAACCUUCUGGUUUUCCUCCUUGUCAUUUCUUCUUUCCUUUCCAGCUCUGUCUUCAACCUUUUACCUCCUUAAUGGGGUCUCAGCAUGGAAUGGAAAGGUUUUUUUGAAUAGUCUCAAAAAAUAUUUUUGGAUAAAAUUUGGUAAUCUUCAUUUUUAAAAUCAGGUAAGUAACAUUUUACAUGUAUCUUCGUGUUUCUCCAAAAACAGCUCCUUUUCCACACUGGCCUUCAUUAAUUUAGGGAGUCUGUGGCCUUGAACUGGGAGGUGGGGGGACUGUUCAGUCAUCUACAGCAUAUCAUUUUCUGUCUUUCUGGAACAAUUGAAUGUUAACUGCAAGUUAUGUUUCUGACAACUCUUCUUACAUGAAAUAAUACAAACUGUCAACUUUAAAGAAUACACUACAUUCACUCAAGCCUAUUUUACAAUUUGAGGGGACACCGAUUCUAUGAAAUGGAGAAAAGAGUUGUCUGAGUUUAGCUUAUAUUCUAGAGUAGUUGAAUACUCAGUUACCAAGUGAGUUAUUUAGCUAACUCCUGCCUCUCAGAUGGAUACAUCUACUUCCACGUUCCUAGAGGCCAGUGUAGGGCAAAAAACAGAACAAAACAUUUCAAUCUUUAGAUAUAAAGGAUAAAAUAGAAAGCACAAACUUCCUGGCA